CCGUGCAAAGGUAGCAUAAUCAUUUGCCUUAUAAUUGAAGGCUAGUAUGAAUGGUUUGACGAGAAUUAAGCUGUCUCUUUACAAUUAAAUAUAAUUUUAUUUACAGGUGAAGAAGCCUGUGUUUUAUUGAAAGACAAGAAGACCCUAUCGAGCUUUAAAAAAUUUAGUAGACUUAUCUUAUAUUAAUAAAAAUAUAAGGCUAUUAAAAAUUUUGGUUGGGGCGACUGAGGAACAAAUAAAGCUUCCUUUAUAGUUAAAAACUUACAAGUAUUGAUCCAAUAAAUUUGAUUAAAGGAAUUAGUUACCGUAGGGAUAACAGCAUAAUCUUCUUUGAGAGCUCCCAUCGAAAAGGAGGUUUGUGACCUCGAUGUUGGACCAGAAUACCCAGAAGAUGCAGCUGUCUUCAAAGGUUGGUCUGUUCGACCAUUAAA
rnacentral:rRNA from 2 species